GACGAACGCUGGCGGCGUGCUUAACACAUGCAAGUCGAGCGGUAAGGCCCUUUCGGGGGUACACGAGCGGCGAACGGGUGAGUAACACGUGGGUGACCUGCCCUCAGCUCUGGGAUAAGCCUGGGAAACUGGGUCUAAUACCGGAUAUGACUCCAUGACGCAUGUUGUGGGGUGGAAAGCCUUGUGCGGCUGAGGAUGGGCCCGCGGCCUAUCAGCUUGUUGGUGGGGNGAUGGCCUACCAAGGCGACGACGGGUAGCCGGCCUGAGAGGGCGACCGGCCACACUGGGACUGAGACACGGCCCAGACUCCUACGGGAGGCAGCAGUGGGGAAUCUUGCGUAAUGGGCGAAAGCCUGACGCAGCGACGCCGCGUGAGGGAUGACGGCC
rnacentral:rRNA from 1 species